GGGGGGGGGGGGGGGGGGGGGGGGGGGGGGGGGGGGGGGGGGGGGGGGGCGGGGGGGGUGGGGGGCGCGGGGGGGGGGCGGGUGGGGGAGGCGGGAGUAACGUGGCCUUGACGUGGGGAUCGGUUGAGGAACCUGGGGCUCAUGCCGGCUAGGAGCUCCUGCGGCAUGGGGGGGGUUGGAAAGCUUCGGCGGUUGGGGAUGGACUCGCGGCUUAUCAGCUUGUUGGUGGGGUAGUGGCUUACCAAGGCUUUGACGGGUAGCCGGCCUGAGAGGGUGACCGGCCACAUUGGGACUGAGCUACGGCCCAGACUCCUACGGGAGGCAGCAGUGGGGAAUAUUGCACAAUGGGCGGAAGCCUGAUGCAGCAACGCCGCGUGCGGGAUGACGGCCUUCGGGUUGUAAACCGCUUUCGCCUGUGACGAAGCGUGAGUGACGGUAAUGGGUAAAGAAGCACCGGCUAACUACGUG
rnacentral:rRNA from 1 species